rnacentral:rRNA from 1 species
AACGAACGCUGGCGGCAGGCUUAACACAUGCAAGUCGAACGCAUCCUUCGGGGUGAGUGGCAGACGGGUGAGUAACGCGUGGGAACGUGCCCUUCAGUUCGGGAUAACCCAGGGAAACUUGGGCCAAUACCGGAUACGUGCGAGAGCAGAAAGAUUUAUCGCUGAAGGAUCGGCCCGCGUCUGAUUAGCUAGUUGGUGGGGUAAUGGCCCACCAAGGCGACGAUCAGUAGCUGGUCUGAGAGGAUGAUCAGCCACAUUGGGACUGAGACACGGCCCAAACUCCUACGGGGGGCAGCAGUGGGGAAUAUUGGACAAUGGGCGCAAGCCUGAUCCAGCCAUGCCGCGUGAGUGAUGAAGGCCUUAGGGUUGUAAAGCUCUUUCGUCCGGGACGAUAAUGACGGUACCGGAAGAAGAAGCCCCGGCUAACUUCGUGCCAGCAGCCGCCGUAA